GAGGGCCCGGCAUGGCACGGGGCAUUGCCGCUAGAUGGGGCCGUUUGCCCGAGGGAGCGACCCUGAAGUACGCGGUGGGAUGUGGCUCAGCCGUCUUCAGCCCGGCUUCCACGAGCGGAACGUCACUCCUCUCCGCCCUCAGGGGGAAGAAAGGAGCACAGGCAGGCAGAGAGCCCAGCCCAGCUAACCUCCUGGCUUCUGCUGUAGAGCUCUCCAUUCCUUUUUGAAGACAGCAGCAGCAUGCGCAUCACCUCUAAAAACACAAGGUACUGAUAGCUACGAUAUGAUCACACAGGUGAGACCAGCACAAGGUAUGAGAUGAUACCUCUAUAUCCCAUUGGACACUGAAGAGUGUCAUUUUCUGACGUAUUUGCGCUGUUG
rnacentral:lncRNA from 1 species